UUUGCCGUGGUGAGGCAAUUUCAUUCGAGGUAUUUUUUGGAUUUCUUGAGUUUUUCUGUAGUAAAAUUACUUGACAUUUUAAAAGUUCAAAGUAAAAAUAUAUUACAAAAAAUAUAUUGUGAAUACUUAAGCACCUCAAAGGAAGACAAACGUUUUUUAACGUGGGUUUCUAUAAAUUAACAAACAGACUUCAAUUAAAUUUGAUUCAUCACGCUUACGGAAAAGUGUAGUAUCUGCACGUGAUAUUUAUAAUCUGAACGUUCUUUACCAAGAACCGAAGUUUGGAGCACUCGCACAAUAAUCGUCAUUAAUAAAUUAAUGUGUAAAUAUGUAUAUAAUACUUAUACAGUGAAUCCUCUACUUGCGGACACCCCUCGUAAAGGGACACACAUUCGGGAACCAAGGUUUAGGUUGUGCUUGUAGAACAAAUUCCACCUUUAUUACCGGACACUCCAAUGACUGGAAGAUUAAUGAUUAUGAUAAUGAUAAUGAUGAAAAGAGACAGGCAUAGGUAUAAAACAUGGGAGGUAAAAACAACGGUAAAAAAGUUUAACGCUUAACUCUAAUGAACGCCGAUUGAAAUUUCUAACUUCUAUUCGGUAGAGGGCAUUCCUACAUCAACACUAUUGUCUUUGAAAAAGAUUUUGAAGGAAAAUAAGGACUUGUUGAUUUUGUAAUAAACAAGGAAUAAAUAAA